rnacentral:rRNA from 1 species
GUGGGGAAUCUUAGACAAUGGGGGAAACCCUGAUCUAGCCAUGCCGCGUGAGCGAUGAAGGCCUUAGGGUUGUAAAGCUCUUUCAGCUGGGAAGAUAAUGACGGUACCAGCAGAAGAAGCCCCGGCUAACUCCGUGCCAGCAGCCGCGGUAAUACGGAGGGGGCUAGCGUUGUUCGGAAUUACUGGGCGUAAAGCGCGCGUAGGCGGACCAGAAAGUUGGAGGUGAAAUCCCAGGGCUCAACCUUGGAACUGCCUUCAAAACUCCUGGUCUGGAGUUCGUGAGAGGUGAGUGGAAUUCCGAGUGUAGAGGUGAAAUUCGUAGAUAUUCGGAGGAACACCAGUGGCGAAGGCGGCUCACUGGCUCGAUACUGACGCUGAGGUGCGAAAGCGUGGGGAGCAAACAGGAUUAGAUACCCUUGUAGUCC